CCACCACUACAAAUCUGCUCCCUUGAAAUGUCUAUUUAGCAAUGUUUAUGUUAAACAUACAAAGCUUCCAGCUGAAACACAGGGAGGCUGCCCAGGAGCACAAAGGUGCUCCAGCAGCCACAGACUGUGUUCUGUGCUUGACCCCUCUGUAGCUAGAGCUGACCAGGGCAGGAUAAAAUCCAAACAAGAACAGAUCUUGCUUUAUGACACAUCAAGGUUGCUUGUGACAACACAUGAGAUACAGAUUCAGCCUCCUCAGGAUUUUGGAUCUUGCCUCCACAGCCUGCUCAGCCAGUGAGUUUAUGCCCAUCAGAAAAAACCCUCUCCUUUCCAAGCCCUCAUGCCUGAGCCCAGGACUGCACAGAAAGCCACAAAUGAUGGAACAAGGCACUGGGUAACUACCUGGGCACACCCUAAGACUGAAUAGCUGUAAUAAUGAAUCAGAAUUUACUAAGUAUCUUCUUUCCAGGCAAAAACCCAGUAGGAAGAAUCAGAAGAAAAGAAAGCAGUUCAGGCAAAGAAAAAGAUCAAAGAAUUAAGAGUUUAGGAUGGAAAAUCAGCACAAAAUUUAUGUCAGUGAUGUGAAAUGAAUUAGUACCCACCCCAAUGAACAACUCACCCAGCCACCCACCCAAUCACUUCCAAAGGGAGGGGAAUGAUAUUUAGACAUCUCUUUUUGACACACUGCUAAGCCAAUGGUGCAAGAACCUGCAUUUCAUAGCCACAAGCUGGACUAAAUAUACCCAGUGCUAAGGUUCACUGGGAUAAGCCCCAAACUACACCAGGCAAAAAACAGGCACCUCAAAAUUCCUGCACAACCCAGAGUCCAGCACAUACUUGAUAACCUAAUGAUUACCAAGUCAGUCUAGGUUUUAACAACCUUAAAGCCAACAUUGUAGCUUUGCAGUGGAAGAUAGGAUGUUCUGCAAAGUGAACUAUCAGGGGUUAACUCCACCAAAAUCCUGACACAGAUGGCACCUGUGUCACACAGGCAUGAGAAGACAGUUCUUCACUGCAGUACAUUGAGCCCUGUACUUAAAAGGAGAAGUGGAUGAUUAAUGCCUGUGUGAGAAAUACCAAGGUGAAAAAUUGAAUAACAUUUUGGAAACGUGUGGUUGUUUUUAAGUUGUGAUUACAGAAAAUAUAUUAAAGGUGAGUUUUCUGAAGGGAUCGCAGCCCACUCCCAAGCUAGGCUAUUUCCAUUUUGGUAAACAGACAGAAAUCUCCUCUGGAGCUAAUGCCCCAAAGGCUGACUCUGCAAACACUAAAACAGAGAGCAUGGCUGAGUGAUCUGAACCGAGACUCACUGUGGUGAACACAACCCAAUAAACUGAAAUACAAGCUGUGUCCUGCUACCCCAGUGUUCCCCCACAACACCCCAUUUGGCAGAGGCAGCUCUCCCAUCCUGCCUGGCAAUAUCCAGCUGUACAAAACAUCUACUAAAAUGCUGAGAGAAGGGACAGGAGCAGCAGUGCUCUCCUGCUAAUGAACAUGGGAAUUUAACCUAUAGAGAAACUAAUGCUUGUGAGUUUAGACAAACAAACACAGGCAAGCAUAAAGUAACCUGGUCAUAGGUGCCAGCAACAAAAAAUGAGUAGCAACUUCUAACUGCAUUAGUGCUUCACUUGCUUUAUUUAUAUAGAGAAUUUAAUACUUAACUUUUUCUUCUGAAACUGAAUUUAACCUGUAUCUCAACCAGGUAAUCAGCAUGGCUUCACCUUUAUUUGCAAUCAUCGCAAGGAAGAGCUGAAGAAGAAGACAUGAAAUGGGCUGUAACAACCCAGCAGAAUCUCUGGUUAAGUCUAGUGCCUGCAGAUGAUGAGGUCAGGGCCAGGUGCUCCUUAGGAGCUGGAUCUCCAAACCUGACUGUCCCAGGUGCUUGCAUGAGCCCCCAUCCCUGGCAGAGCUCAGCCUCCUGGUGCUAGAACAAGCUGUGGGUUCAGCCAGUUUCCAAGCGGAAAGGCCUGAAGCAGUGAUGGGUCUCUCAGUCAAACAUAAUGUCUCUUUUGGCCUUUGUCUGCACAGUCCCAGCACAAGAAAUUCCCUCAUCCUGUUAAAAAGCAUUUAACUGCCAGAAGUGCUGGUCUUCUGCUACUAGGGAGCACCUUGGGGCUGACCCACACAGCUUUAUAGGGGGAACAUGUGUGAGGUACUGACACCCUCAAGGCAAGAGCAGCUCAAUCCAAUCUGCCCAUGCUGCUGACACAGGGGCCAUGACAGCUCAGACCUGUAGAAGUGACUCAAGAGCUCCCAACCUCAAACCUCCAAAUCCAAGGACCAGGGAUCUGCCACAUUUGACAGCUUGGGUCUGGGAUGGCCCCAAGGGGCUCCAUACAAGGGCUGGAGAAAUCUAAGCCCUAAUCAGUUUGCAUUUUGGGCCCUAGGCUGGCUGAUUACCCUCAAUGUUGAGUGGGGAGCUGAAGGGACCCACUCAGGCAAUAACAAUUUACAUUUUCUUCACUUAAGUGCACUGCUGCCUUGCACAUGAGU